rnacentral:rRNA from 1 species
AAGUCUGAUGGAGCAACGCCGCGUGAGUGAAGAAGGGUUUCGGCUCGUAAAGCUCUGUUGGUAGUGAAGAAAGAUAGAGGUAGUAACUGGCCUUUAUUUGACGGUAAUUACUUAGAAAGUCACGGCUAACUGCGUGCCAGCAGCCGCGGUAAUACGUAGGUGGCAAGCGUUGUCCGGAUUUAUUGGGCGUAAAGCGAGUGCAGGCGGUUCAAUAAGUCUGAUGUGAAAGCCUUCGGCUCAACCGGAGAAUUGCAUCAGAAACUGUUGAACUUGAGUGCAGAAGAGGAGAGUGGAACUCCAUGUGUAGCGGUGGAAUGCGUAGAUAUAUGGAAGAACACCAGUGGCGAAGGCGGCUCUCUGGUCUGCAACUGACGCUGAGGCUCGAAAGCAUGGGUAGCGAACAGGAUUAGAUACCCUGGUAGUCCAUGCCGUAAACGAUGAGUGCUGAGUGUUGGGAGGUUUCCGCCUCUCAGUGCUGCAGCUAACGCAUUAAGCACUCCGCCUGGGGAGUACGACCGCAAGGUUGAAACUCAAAGGAAUUGACGGGGGCCCGCACAAGCGGUGGAGCAUGUGGUUUAAUUCGAAGCAACGCGAAGAACCUUACCAGG